AGGAAAGGCGGGCUUUAGAGGCGCGGGACUCCCACACUUCCUCUCCGAAGGCCCUGCGCCGGCACUGUAGCCAAUCACAGGCCACGUUUUGUCGCAGCAGCCAAUCGGAAGGGCCUAGUCCUGAAGACGUGCACUUGACCGCUCCUCCCUCUGGGUUGGAGGCAGGAUAGUGGGUUUUACCGCAACUGGUUCGUUUUCCUCCGGUUUUCACCCAUUCUGGCACAAUCCGGCGUCAUCGUCCUUCUUAUGAGGCCAAGCCUGAAAAUGCGAAGCAGAGAGGCAGGACAAAAAUUGAGGCGAAUCGGGAAACCUGCCAAUGAGUCUGCGGGUGCGGUCUCUGGCACUUGGAGGAUAUCGGGAGGAAGAGGCAUGGAAGAGGGAUAAAACGCGGUGCCCUAGGUAUGUUGAAGACAGAGUCGGGCCCAAAAUACGUGAUUUACUGAGAUGUGUGUCGUGUUCUUGCGCUUUAUCUUGUAGCUUUCCGAUGCGGAGAUAACGGGGACGCUCUCGGCCAACCAUUCCGAGAGCAGGAGUCAAAUAGGAUACGCCGACUUUUAACUCAAAGAACCCUUUUCUGAAACCCUUUGCCACAAUGAAAGAAAUAAGGAAUUGUACCCUCAGAGGUGACGGGAAAAGAUACACAGGUCUUGGAAGAUAAUUAUUCAAAAUAUGCAGGGAAGGAAUAAAAUUGAAGGGCGUUUUUCUUAGAGAACAUCAUUUGUCAUAUUUAUUUGAUUAAGAAGUUGAAGAUUUAUAUAAUAAGGAUCUAGUUUGAAGCACUAAGAAGAAUAAGACAUCAGUUUGAAAAGAGGCUCUGUCAGAGCAACACGAAUUCUGCUAAAAUUGAAGCAAGAACAAACAUCAAAUUUAUGUUGAUGCUUGGGUGGGGGAAUUGUGAACUAAUUGAUACUUUAUGAAAAGUUUAUUGGGACAAUGCCCCAAAGAAAUCAGUUUACAAAUGGAUAACUCAUUUUAAGAAUGGAUAAGGUAAUCUUGAAGAAGAAGCCCACAGUGGCAGAUCAUCCACAUCAGUUUGUGAGAAAAAAAAAUUAAUCUAGUUCAUGGCCUAACUGCAGAAAACCAACAGUUUAUAGCAGAAACGACAGUCAACACCAUAGACAUCUCAGUUGGUUCACUUUACACAAUUCUGACUAGAAAAAUUGAGCAAACUUUACACCCGAUAGGUACCAAAACCAUUGCACCCAGAUCAGCUACAGACAGGAGCAGAGCUUUCAGUGGGAAUUUUAAAUAAGUGGGGUCAUGAUCUUGAAGGAUUUCAUUGAAAAAUUGUAACAGGAGAUGAAACACGGCUUUAACAGUGCAAUCCUGAAGACAAAGCGCAAUUAAAGCAAUGGUUACCAAGCUAUGGAAGUAGUUCAGUCAAAGCACAAGUGGACUGGUUGAGAGCAAAGCUCUCAACAGCUUUUGGAUGCUCAAGGUAUUUUGCUUAUUGACUUUCUGUAGGGCCAAAGAAUGGUCACAUCUGCUUAUUAGGAGUGUUUUUGAGACACUUAGCCAAAGCUUUAGCAGAAAAAUGUCCGAGAAAGCUUCACCAGAGAGUUGUUCUCCACAAUGCUUCUACUCAUCUCUCUCAUCAAGGGCAAUUCUGCGAGAGUUUUGAUGGCAGAUCACUAGGUAUCCACCCUAUAGUCCUGAUUUGGCACCUUCUGAUGUUUUGUUUCCUAAUCUUAAAAAUUUUUUUUAAAGCUGUACAUUUUUUUUUCAGUUAAUAAUGUAAAAAAAAGAAAAAAAAAAAACUGCAUUGAUGUGGUUAAAUUCCUAGAACUCUCAGUUCUUUAUGGAUGGACUGAAUAGCUGGUAUCAUCACUUACAAGUGUCUUGAACUCCAUAGAACUAAUGUUCAGAAAUAUAGUUUAUAUUUUUGUCUUUUAAUUCCAUUUUCCAGAAACUUUCUGAAGUCUCCUUGAAUAUACACCCUUUGUAGAGGGGAAAAAUUCUUGUGACUGUUUAUACUGACUUACUGCUGACUUAAUUUUCUAUUUUGUAAUAUGUACAAACUUAAAAGUUGAUACAAAUUUGGUUUAUAGCCCUUAAACAAAUUUGUGAAAUAAAUGCAUUCAGAAACAAACUAAACCAACAUUCAUGGAAUGGAUGCUACUGUUUUACUGAGGUGUAAAGGUGGUACUGGCUGCUAUGGAAAAAGUUACAUAUAAACAGU